rnacentral:rRNA from 1 species
GACGAACGCUGGCGGCGCGCCUAACACAUGCAAGUCGAACGAGUGAGAGAGAGCUUGCUUUCUCGAGCGAGUGGCGAACGGGUGAGUAACGCGUGAGGAACCUGCCUCAAAGAGGGGGACAACAGUUGGAAACGACUGCUAAUACCGCAUAAGCCCACGACCCGGCAUCGGGUAGAGGGAAAAGGAGCAAUCCGCUUUGAGAUGGCCUCGCGUCCGAUUAGCUAGUUGGUGAGGUAACGGCCCACCAAGGCGACGAUCGGUAGCCGGACUGAGAGGUUGAACGGCCACAUUGGGACUGAGACACGGCCCAGACUCCUACGGGAGGCAGCAGUGGGGAAUAUUGCACAAUGGGGGAAACCCUGAUGCAGCGACGCCGCGUGGAGGAAGAAGGUCUUCGGAUUGUAAACCCCUGUUGUUGAGGAAGAUAAUGACGGUACUCAACAAGGAAGUGACGGCA